rnacentral:rRNA from 1 species
UACGGGAGGCAGCAGUGGGGAAUCUUGCGCAAUGGGCGAAAGCCUGACGCAGCCAUGCCGCGUGAAUGAUGAAGGUCUUAGGAUUGUAAAAUUCUUUUCACCGGGGACGAUAAUGACGGUACCCGGAGAAGAAGCCCCGGCUAACUUCGUGCCAGCAGCCGCGGUAAUACGAAGGGGGCUAGCGUUGCUCGGAAUUACUGGGCGUAAAGGGAGCGUAGGCGGACAUUUAAGUCAGGGGUGAAAUCCCGGGGCUCAACCUCGGAAUUGCCUUUUGAUACUGGGUGUCUUGAGUAUGAGAGAGGUGUGUGGAACUCCGAGUGUAGAGGUGAAAUUCGUAGAUAUUCGGAAGAACACCAGUGGCGAAGGCGACACACUGGCUCAUUACUGACGCUGAGGCUCGAAAGCGUGGGGAGCAAACAGGGAUUAGAUACC